GACGAACGCUGGCGGCGUGCUUAACACAUGCAAGUCGAGCGGAAAGGCCCUUCGGGGUACUCGAGCGGCGAACGGGUGAGUAACACGUGAGUAACCUGCCCCAGACUUUGGGAUAACCCUCGGAAACGGGGGCUAAUACCGGAUACGACACAGCUUCGCAUGGGGUCUGUGUGGAAAGUUUUUCGGUUUGGGAUGGGCUCGCGGCCUAUCAGCUUGUUGGUGGGGUGAUGGCCUACCAAGGCGACGACGGGUAGCCGGCCUGAGAGGGCGACCGGCCACACUGGGACUGAGACACGGCCCAGACUCCUACGGGAGGCAGCAGUGGGGAAUAUUGCACAAUGGGCGGAAGCCUGAUGCAGCGACGCCGCGUGAGGGAUGGCGGCCUUCGGGUUGUAAACCUCUUUCAGCAGGGACGAAGCGUAAGUGGCGGUACCUGCAGAAGAAGCGCCGGCCAACUACGUG
rnacentral:rRNA from 1 species